rnacentral:rRNA from 1 species
GAAACGCCCGGACCCAUCCCGAACCCGGAAGCUAAGCCUGCCAGCGCCAAUGAUACUACCCGCAACGGGUGGAAAAGUAGGACACCGCCGAAC